rnacentral:lncRNA from 1 species
UUUCUUACAAAAGCAACUUACUAUCUUCUUUACUUAUCUCAUGGGGCAUCUAAGAGACGACUCCACAAAGGUCAGUAAACAAGAAAAUAAAAUGCAGACAUGAUAGCGGAAGUAAUUUUGAUAAUGAGGAUCUCAAUGAGAGUAGAGUGGAAGCCAUGGGAGAUAUUGUCUUUUUGUUGAGUGUUUACCUUACAUUAUGACAUUUAGGUUCUUCAAAUCACCUCAUAAUACUACUACGUUGAGAAAAAAAAAUAUGUAUGAUUUUCACAAAAUGAUGGCUU